rnacentral:rRNA from 13 species
CCACCCUGGCAACUUUGAGGUUCUAACUCUGGUCCGUUAUCCGGAUCGAGGACAGUGUAUGGUGGGUAGUUUGACUGGGGCGGUCUCCUCCUAAAGAGUAACGGAGGAGUACGAAGGUGCGCUCAGACCGGUCGGAAAUCGGUCGUAGAGUAUAAAGGCAAAAGCGCGCUUGACUGCGAGACAGACACGUCGAGCAGGUACGAAAGUAGGUCUUAGUGAUCCGGUGGUUCUGUAUGGAAGGGCCAUCGCUCAACGGAUAAAAGGUACUCCGGGGAUAACAGGCUGAUACCGCCCAAGAGUUCAUAUCGACGGCGGUGUUUGGCACCUCGAUGUCGGCUCAUCACAUCCUGGGGCUGAAGCCGGUCCCAAGGGUAUGGCUGUUCGCCAUUUAAAGUGGUACGCGAGCUGGGUUUAGAACGUCGUGAGACAGUUCGGUCCCUAUCUGCCGUGGGUGUACGAGACUUGAGAGGAGCUGUCCCUAGUACGAGAGGACCGGGAUGGACGCACCUCUGGUGCACCGGUUGUCGCG